AGCUUUAAUAUGGUCUUCUCAGCUUGGUCCUGCCUCUUUCUCAUGUCCUUAAGAUUGAUGCUCACCUCAAUCAUCCCUCAAGCAUAGUGAUGGAAGCACUCUGAAAUUUCUCAGUGUGACAGAAGGAUAUUCUAUGGAUACCAAAUACAGGAUAGAUCAUACCAGUGCCUGUCAAUCAUGUUGCCAACCAUUUCCACAUCCUUAUGGAAAGUCCCUGUCCCCUCACUCAGGCUGUGGUCAAUGCACAAAAUACAGCUGCUACACUCACUAUUGCUCUUCUCACAGACCUAGAACCGGAUUUGAGGUCAGACAUCAAGGAAGAAUUUGCAAAACUAUUUGAGGAGCAUGGAAUCGUUAGAGAAAAUAGCAUUGACCUAUCUAAUGCCAAUCACUGUCUCCAGGCCCUAGAAUGAAGAUUGGCCUGAGCCUCCAGGUGGGCAAUAUCCAAUGAGAGCAAAGAGGGGGUUGGUGGUCAUAGAGAGGCCCUUCCAAAAGUAUUAGCAUUGUGCACUCAAAUUACAAUAAAAAUAGUUUGAUAAGGAAACAUUGAAGAAAGCUUGUAAAUUGGCUUUGAAUUGUCUGGAUUUGUGUCCUAGUCCUACUUUGAGCUUUGAAGUAAAGUGACUCAAGCACUUAGGCAAGAAAAGAAGGAUUUGAGUUUUGCAUGGUUGAUGUAUGCUUGUGUUAAACAGGCUCAGCAAUGGGUUCAAUAUCAUUAAAAGACAGAGUAGCCCAAUGUGGUAUAGCUGCUCUUCAGUGGUCCUCCUCCAUCCCACUCUAGAUAAUAACAUCUUAAUCUGAACUCCGUACAACCUUGGCUUCUUACCUGGGAGUGGAUAUACCUGAUCACCACUUCUCAACCAGUCUGGAGAGCAGACUCCUCUGGCCCUCCCUUCUCAUCUAGUCCAAGACUUCACUCAUAUAAUGUGUGAAGUCUUUAAUGUAGCCAAGGCUUUUAUCAUUAUUCCACAAUUUACCUAACCUACUUCA
rnacentral:lncRNA from 1 species